rnacentral:rRNA from 1 species
AGUGAACGCUGGCGGUAGGCCUAACACAUGCAAGUCGAACGGCAGCACAGUAAGAGCUUGCUCUUACGGGUGGCGAGUGGCGGACGGGUGAGGAAUACAUCGGAAUCUACUUUUUCGUGGGGGAUAACGUAGGGAAACUUACGCUAAUACCGCAUACGACCUACGGGUGAAAGCAGGGGAUCUUCGGACCUUGCGCGAUUGAAUGAGCCGAUGUCGGAUUAGCUAGUUGGCGGGGUAAAGGCCCACCAAGGCGACGAUCCGUAGCUGGUCUGAGAGGAUGAUCAGCCACACUGGACCUGAGCCACGGUCCAGACUCCUACGGGAGGCACCGGUGGGGAAUGUUGGACAAUGGGCGCAAGCCUUAUCCAGCCAUCCCGCGUGGGUGAAGAAGGCCUUCGGGUUUUAAAGCCCUUUUGUUGGGAAAGAAAAGCAGCAGGUUAAUACCCCGCUGUUCUGACGGUACCCAAAGAAUAAGCACCGGCUAACUUCGUG